rnacentral:piRNA from 1 species
UACCUGGAAGUUUUUUCUGGCAUGGGC